UACGGAGGGUGCAAGCGUUAUCCGGAAUCACUGGGUUUAAAGGGUGCGUAGGCGGCUUUGUAAGUCAGAGGUGAAAGCUUCCCGCUCAACGGGAGAACUGCCUAUGAUACUGCAAGGCUUGAAUUGGCACGAGGCAGGCGGAAUGUGACAUGUAGCGGUGAAAUGCUUAGAUAUGUCAUAGAACACCGAUUGCGAAGGCAGCCUGCCAGAGCCUGAUUGACGCUGAGGCACGAAAGCGUGGGGAUCGAACAGG
rnacentral:rRNA from 1 species